rnacentral:rRNA from 1 species
GCCCAGACUCCUACGGGAGGCAGCAGUGGGGAAUAUUGCACAAUGGGGGGAACCCUGAUGCAGCGACGCCGCGUGGGUGAAGAAGUCAUUCGUGACGUAAAGCCCUAUCAGCAGGGAAGAAGAUGACGGUACCUGACUAAGAAGCCCCGGCUAACUACGUGCCAGCAGCCGCGGUAAUACGUAGGGGGCAAGCGUUAUCCGGAUUUACUGGGUGUAAAGGGAGCGUAGACGGUUAUGUAAGUCUGGAGUGAAAGCCCGGGGCCCAACCCCGGGACUGCUUUGGAAACUGUGUAACUAGAGUACAGGAGGGGCAGGCGGAAUUCCUGGUGUAGCGGUGAAAUGCGUAGAUAUCAGGAGGAACACCAGUGGCGAAGGCGUCUUACUGGACCGAAACUGACGUUGAGGCUCGAAAGCGUGGGGAGCAAACAGGAUUAGAUGCCCCCGUAGC